GCUUACGGCCACACCGCCUGGUUCACGCCUGAUCUCGUUUGAUCUCGGAAGUUAAGAUAGGUUGGGCCUGGUUAGUACUUGGAUGGGAGACCGCCUGGGAUUACCAGGUGCUGUAAACU
ensembl:rRNA 5S_rRNA 5S ribosomal RNA